AAUUUCCCAACAUCUCUAUUUUUCCCCCCAAAAUUUCCCUUUUUCCCCCCAAAAUUUCCCAUUUCCCCCCCCCAAAAUUUCCAUUUUCCCCCCAAAAUCCCCAUUUUCCCCCCCAAAAUUCCCAUUUUCCCCCUAAAAAUUUCCAUUUUUUCCCUCCAAAAUUCCCAUUUUUCCCCCCAAAUUCCCCUAAAUUUUCCCAAAAUCCUCAUUUUUCCCCCCAAAAUCCCCAUUUUUCCCCCAAAAUCCCCAUUCCCCCCCCAAAAUCCCCAUUUUUCCCCCAAAAUUUGCAUUUUUCCCCAAAAAAAAUCCUCUAAAAUUUCCAAAAAUUCGCAUUUUUCCCCCCCAAAAUCCUCUAAAAUUUCCCAACAUCCCUAUUUUUCCCCCCAAAAUCCUCAUUUCCCCCCCAAAAUUCCCAUUUUCCCCCUAAAAAUUUCCAUUUUUUCCCUCCAAAAUUCCCAUUUUUCCCCCCAAAUUCCCCUAAAUUUUCCCAAAAUCCUCAUUUUCCCCAAAAUUCCCAUUUUUCCCCCCAAAAUCCCAUUUUUCCCCCAAAAAUCCCCAUUUUUUCCCUCCAAAAUUCCCAUUUUUCCCCCCAAAAAUCCUCUAAAAUUUCCCAACAUCUCUAUUUUUUCCCCCCAAAAUCCCCAUUUUUCCCCCAAAAUUUGCAUUUUUCCCCAAAAAAAUCCUCUAAAAUUUCAAAAAAUUCCGAUUUCCCCCCCCAAAAAUCCUCUAAAAUUUCCCAACAUCUCUAUUUUUCCCCCCAAAAUUCCCAUUUUUUCCCCCAAAAUUCCCAUUUUUUCCCCCAAAAUUCCCAUUUUCCCCCCAAAAUUCCCAUUUUGCACCCCAAAAUUCCCAUUUUUCCCCCCCAAAAUUCCCAUUUUUUCCCCCAGGCCAUCUGGCUGCUGUGCACGGGCGCUCGUGAAGCCGCUUUCAGGAACAUCAAAACCAUCGCCGAGUGCUUGGCCGACGAGCUCAUCAACGCUGCCAAGGGCUCCUCCAACUCUUACGCCAUCAAGAAGAAAGACGAGCUGGAGCGCGUGGCCAAAUCCAACCGCUGAAAAUUCCCCAAAAUCCCCAAAGUUUCACAAAUAA
rnacentral:lncRNA from 1 species